UAGGGAAUCUUCGGCAAUGGACGAAAGUCUGACCGAGCAACGCCGCGUGAGUGAAGAAGGUUUUCGGAUCGUAAAACUCUGUUGUUAGAGAAGAACAAGGACGUUAGUAACUGAACGUCCCCUGACGGUAUCUAACCAGAAAGCCACGGCUAACUACGUGCCAGCAGCCGCGGUAAUACGUAGGUGGCAAGCGUUGUCCGGAUUUAUUGGGCGUAAAGCGAGCGCAGGCGGUUUCUUAAGUCUGAUGUGAAAGCCCCCGGCUCAACCGGGGAGGGUCAUUGGAAACUGGGAGACUUGAGUGCAGAAGAGGAGAGUGGAAUUCCAUGUGUAGCGGUGAAAUGCGUAGAUAUAUGGAGGAACACCAGUGGCGAAGGCGGCUCUCUGGUCUGUGACUGACGCUGAGGCGCGAAAGCGUGGGGAGCAAACAGG
rnacentral:rRNA from 1 species